UGGGGUAUCGCCAAGCGGUAAGGCACUAGUUUUUGGUACUGGUAUCGGGGGUUCGAAUCCCUCUACCCCAUCCA
rnacentral:tRNA from 1 species